rnacentral:rRNA from 1 species
GCGGAAGGAUCAUUACCGAGUUUUCGGGCUUCGGCUCGACUCUCCCACCCUUUGUGAACGUACCUCUGUUGCUUUGGCGGCUUCGGCCGCCAAAGGACCUUCAAACUCCAGUCAGUAAACGCAGACGUCUGAUAAACAAGUCAAUAAACUAAAACUUUCAACAACGGAUCUCUUGGUUCUGGCAUCGAUGAAGAACGCAGCGAAAUGCGAUAAGUAAUGUGAAUUGCAGAAUUCAGUGAAUCAUCGAAUCUUUGAACGCACAUUGCGCCCCUUGGUAUUCCGGGGGGCAUGCCUGUUCGAGCGUCAUUACAACCCUCAAGCUCUGCUUGGAAUUGGGCACCGUCCUCACUGCGGACGCGCCUCAAAGACCUCGGCGGUGGCUGUUCAGCCCUCAAGCGUAGUAGAAUACACCUCGCUUUGGAGCGGUUGGCGUCGCCCGCCGGACGAACCUUCUGAACUUUUCUCAAGGUUGACCUCGGAUCAGGUAGGGAUACCCGCUGAACUUAAGCAUAUCAAU